CACAAAGAAAGCAAUGCUUUGUUAAUUACAAGAAAGGAACUGCAGGAACUCCAGCGUUGAAAAUGUUUAAGUGGUUUUAGCUGUUCACUUGAAUUGGUGUGGUCUCACUGGACAAGAUCAGAAUAAACUGAAAUCAUUCCCA